AACGCACCUUGCGCUCCUUGGUAUUCCGAGGAGCAUGCCUGUUUGAGUGUCAUUAAUAUAUAUAUCAGCCCUCUCUUGUUGAGUGGUUUGGAUGUGGGAGUUUGCUGGCCUCUUAAAGGAGGUUCAGCUCUCCUGAAAUGCAUUAGCAGAACAACCUGUUCAUUGGUGUGAUAACUAUCUACGCUAUUGAAUGUGAAGGGAAGUUCAGCUUUCUAACAGUCUUUGGACAAUUUACAUCAUUAAUGUGACCUCAAAUCAGGUAGGACUACCCGCUGAACUUAA
rnacentral:misc_RNA from 1 species